CCUACGGGUGGCAGCAGUGAGGAAUAUUGGUCAAUGGACGGAAGUCUGAACCAGCCAUGCCGCGUGCAGGAAGACGGCUCUAUGAGUUGUAAACUGCUUUUGUACAAGGGAAAACCUGAAUACGUGUAUUCAGCUGAAAGUACGGUACGAAUAAGGAGCGGCUAACCCGGUGCCAGCAGCCGCGGUAAUACGGAGGGUACAAGCGUUAUCCGGAUUUAGUGGGUUUAAAGGGUGCGUAGGCGGAUUGAUAAGUGAGAGGUGAAAUGUCGGAGUUUAACUCGGGAACUGCUUCGAAUACUGUUGAGCUGGAGAGUAGGUGAGGUAGGCGGAAUUUAUGGUGUAGCGGUGAAAUGCUUAGAGAUCAUACAGAACACCGGUUGCGAAGGCAGCUUACUAAUCUAUAUCUGACGUUGAGGCACGAAAGCGUGGGGAGCAAACAGGAUUAGAUACCCGGGUAGUC
rnacentral:rRNA from 1 species